rnacentral:rRNA from 1 species
UACGAAGGGGGCUAGCGUUGUUCGGAUUUACUGGGCGUAAAGCGCACGUAGGCGGAUUGUUAAGUGAGAGGUGAAAUCCCGGAGCUCAACUCCGGAACUGCCUUUCAUACUGGCAAUCUAGAGUCCGGAAGAGGUGAGUGGAACUCCUAGUGUAGAGGUGGAAUUCGUAGAUAUUAGGAAGAACACCAGUGGCGAAGGCGGCUCACUGGUCCGGUACUGACGCUGAGGUGCGAAAGCGUGGGGAGCAACAGGG